UGUGUGUGAGAAAGAGUGCAAGCAAUUGCUUAUUGAUGUAAUGGAAGGAAAUGAAGGUAAUGUAAAGAGCAGGUAAACAACGGCAUCUUCCUGACAGAUAUGCAGAACCUCUCCUGCUUUUUCUGAGAUACUUGCAGAUGUUGCCAGUUACUUGCCGUAAGUGGUGUUUGUUUCCUUUCCACAAAGACAACAGCAGCUCUGAAUGCUGAUAAAACAAAGCUUGGCAGAAUCCCAAGCAAGAUAUCUUGUUCUGGGACUACGCUCAGCCUGAGCUUCUCACUUAUCUUGCAGGCAUUCAGUCUUCAAAAGCCAGGAGCAUCCAUCUUUGGGAGAUAAAGUUACAACGGAAUUUUGAAUAAACUGACCCUGGAAAUGCUUCUAGCUCAGCUAACAGAAUGACGUGGUGGCCUUGGAAAACGAUACACUCUGAGGGCUGGUGCUGGGGGAAACCAAGAUGCAGAAUUAGAAGAGUUCUGAUGAUGGAGAAACAGAUUCAAAAUGCUUACUCAUCUCCAAAUGUUCAUGUGGGACAACAGGGAUAUAUAUGAGCUGCAAAGAAAAGUACCUCCCAAUGACACUACACUUGAACAGUAAUGUCAAUAUCUAAUCUGCCGACACAGCGGGCUGCGUUGCGCUUGACUCUGUCUGUACCUGCUCUACCCAGAUGGCACAGAAAGCAAGCUGGAAUUGCCCUCUGCUGGUUUUCCCUCCCCAGAUUGCUGUGGAGGUUAGGCUGAGCUGAAUGAACUGCAGUGUGAGUGGCUUGUUAACUUAAGUGUGAGAAAACAGGAUUUGCUGACAAUGGACCAACAUCCACAGCUGGUGUAAAUGAACCUUGCCACACUGAAAUCUGAAAGACUUCUGCCUGAAAGGUUUUCCAUGUCCAG